rnacentral:lncRNA from 1 species
ACCCACCGUCAUGUGGGCCCCACAUGUCAUCUCGUCCGCCGGCGCCCGGUGGGAUAAGCCGACAGAGGCGGAAGGCCGACGAAGGCCAUUGGUGCGCCGCCGGCUUCCGUGGGUCCCGUCCCCUCGGCGACAGCUGAGUUCGAGCGUGGUGGAGGCCGGCGACGGUCUGGGUGGCGAAAGCAGGAUCGCGGACGGCGGGAGGCGGCAGAGGGAGCUCGUCCACCCGCUAGCUAGGUCGGAUCGAUCUCGAUGGUGGCGCCCGUAUUGCUCAUGGUUCGCCUGGACUCGAUCGAUCUCGGACAGCCAGAUCGCCGCCGCCACUGCCGGUGACGACAAGCUCGCAUCCGCCAUCAACGCCCUGGAGGAGCUCCUCCACAAGGGUAGCCCGGCGCUAGCGGCGUACGAGCACCAUGUGAUCUUCCUGAAGCGCGCGUAG